UACGUAGGGUGCAAGCGUUGUCCGGAAUUAUUGGGCGUAAAGGGCGCGUAGGCGGCUUGGCAAGUGGAUGGUGAAAUCCCUCGGCUUAACCGAGGAACUGCCAUCCAGACUGCUUUGCUUGAGGCCGGGAGAGGUAAGUGGAAUUCCCAGUGUAGCGGUGAAAUGCGUAGAUAUUUGGGAGGAACACCAGUGGCGAAGGCGGCUUACUGGACCGGUUCUGACGCUGAGGCGCGAAAGCGUGGGGAGCAAACGGGG
rnacentral:rRNA from 1 species